AGCGAACGCUGGCGGCAGGCCUAACACAUGCAAGUCGAACGAACCCUUCGGGGUUAGUGGCGGACGGGUGAGUAACACGUGGGAACGUACCUUUAGGUUCGGAACAACACAGGGAAACUUGUGCUAAUGCCGAAUGUGCCCUUCGGGGAAAGGAUUUAUCGCCUUUAGAGCGGCCCGCGUCUGAUUAGCUUGUUGGUGAGGUAAAGGCUCACCAAGGCUACGAUCAGUAGCUGGUCUGAGAGGAUGAUCAGCCACACUGGGACUGAGACACGGCCCAGACUCCUACGGGAGGCAGCAGUGGGGAAUCUUGCGCAAUGGGCGAAAGCCUGACGCAGCCAUGCCGCGUGAAUGAUGAAGGUCUUAGGAUUGUAAAAUUCUUUCACCGGGGAAGAUAAUGACGGUACCCGGAGAAGAAGCCCCGGCUAACUUCGUG
rnacentral:rRNA from 1 species